ACGCGUGCUCACCUGGCGCGCUCCGCGUGGAGGGGCGUCCGCAGGCUCCUCCCCCGGGCGAGGCCUCGGGGCGGCUCCGCUGCGGCGCCAGUGAUCCCCGCGCGGCCUGAAGGUGGGCUGCCGAGAGGGAAAGGGGACGCCGCGGCGGGGCUGCGGUGCGGAGCGCCGAGGAGAACAACGGCGAGUCCAUCCUCUGAGCGCUCACUGUGUGCCAGGCACUAAGAGCUUCACUGGGAUUAGUUCAUGGCAUCCUCCCACCGCCUUCCUCUUAUCAUCCCUACUGUGAAGAUGAGAAGGCCGAACCACAGAGAGGCGGAGUAGCUUGCUCAGUCACAACCCAGCUGCACACCAUCCUCCUUGGAGUCAACUGUGCCUCUUUCCAAAUUUUUGAGGAAGAUUAGCCCUGAGCUAACAUCUGCUGCCAAUCUUCCUCUUUUUGCUGAGGAAGACUGGCCCUGAGUGAACAUCCAUGCCCAUCUUCCUCUACUUUAUAUGUGGGACACCUGCCACAGCAUGGCGCGCCAAGUGGUGCGUAGGUCCGCACCCAAGAUCCGAACUGGCAAACCCCAGGCCGCCAAAGUAGAGCGUGAAACUUAACCUCUGUGCCACCAGGCUGGCCCCUAAACAUCACCGCUUUUAAAAACAGCUUAUGAGGUAUAACUGACAUGCAAUGAGCUGCACACGUUUAAAGUACAACUUGGUAUGUUUCGACACACGUUUAUACCUGUGAGACCAUCACUGCCCUCGAGACAGUGAACAGACUCGUCGCCCAAAGUUUCCACGUGCCCCUCUGCACCCCUCCCUUCUGCUCCCGUCGGCCCCGCCCCCCACAGGCAACCACCAAUCCACCUCUGUCACUAUAAAUUCAUUUGCAUUUUCUAAGAUUUUAUAUAAGUAACUGGCACCUUUCCUUCAGUGUAAUUAUUUUGCAUAUAGAACAUUUACCAUGAUAGAUUAUAUUCAGGGCAAUAAAACAAGUCUCGAUAAA